rnacentral:rRNA from 1 species
CUCCUACGGGAGGCAGCAGUGAGGAAUCUUGCGCAAUGGGGGAAACCCUGACGCAGCCACGCCGCGUGAAGGAAGACGGUCCUACGGAUUGUAAACUUCUUUUCUAUCUGAAGAAAGCACGGGUUUCGACCGGUGUUGACGGUAGGGUAGGAAUAAGCACCGGCUAACUCCGUGCCAGCAGCCGCGGUAAUACGGAGGGUGCGAGCGUUGUCCGGAAUCAUUGGGUGUAAAGGGUGCGCAGGCGGGUUGUUAAGUCUGAGGUGAAAUCUUACCGCUCAACGGUAAACGUGCCUUGGAUACUGGCAGCCUUGAGUAUGAUAGAGGUCGGUGGAAUUCGUAGUGUAGCGGUGAAAUGCAUAGAUAUUACGAAGAACACCAGUGGUGAAAACGGCCGGCUGGAUCAUAACUGACGCUCAGGCACGAGAGCGUGGGGAGCGAACAGGAUUAGAUACCCUGGUAGUCCACGCUGUAAACGAUGUGUGCUAGGUGUUGGUCCUGAAUGGGAUCAGUGCCGCAGCUAACGCGAUAAGCACACCAC